GAAAUAGGCCUAGAGUAUUUUAUAGUUUGCAGUGAAAUCUAAUUGGAUUCAUUUGGGCUGAAAUAGGAAAUACAGAGAGAUCUGAUAUAUUUUUAAUUUCCCAAAUCUUAAGAACAAUAAUGGCCAUUUAAUCUUAGUGAGACACUGAGUUUUGGACCUGGAACUGCGGAAAUUGUGGAUUUUGGAGAUAAGUGGCUGAUUCCCCCCAUGUUCUUACCUUUCAGGGAAGGUAUUCACCAGUCUAGAUUGCAGCAGGAACCCACAGGCUGUGUUGGCUUCUGCAUCAGCAGAGCAGGGAGGGUGCCUGAAUCUGCCAGGGCCUGCUCUUCUCAGCCUCUGCAAAUGUUCUCUAUCCAAACCUUUCCUUCCCCUCUUUCUCCAGAAAAUUUAAAUGAGAAUGUCAAGAUUAGAUAUGAGUGUUUAAGAAGAUUCUGUCUGAUGUUCAGGACAGUGAUUUGAGAGGGAACAGACUGAGACACAGUGGGGCAUUUUUGAGGCCACGUGUCUGUCCUAGUCAGAGAUCCUAAGAUCCUGAAGUAAGACAGCAGUAGUAAAAAUGGAGAAGAGAUAUUCUAGAGGUCAUAUCAAAAAGCUUGGUGAUCUAUUGGGACAAGUUGGGAAAAAAAAGGAUGAGGGAGAAAGAAAAAGCAAGGAUGGCUCGCAAGUUUCUGUCUUGGGUGACAGCUAGUCCCCCAUGCAUCUGUAUAUUCAAGCUUGUCUGGAGCUGGGCAGGAUUAUGCCUGUAGUACCAUCCUUUUAUUUUCCAGUGUGUUUCAGUUUGGCGGUCAAAUUUAUGUGGUCACUCUAGUAAAAGAAUGAAUGGCAAUCACAUUGGGAACUUCAGGGAAGAGACGAGCUGAAAGGAGGUUUUAGACCUAUUAUAUCUGAAAUGCCUAUGUUACAAUUGGAUUUAUUUUCUCACUUCCUUUAAACCGUUGUUCAAACAUUCCGUUUUCAUUGAGCUUCCCCUGACUAUCUAAUCCUUCAACUUCCCCCUUGACCCAUCUUUAAUCCUCCUUUUUUUGCUCUACUUUUUCUUUACUCAUAGCACUUUACACCUUCUGACAUGCUGUAUACUUCACUUAUUCAGGAUGUUCAUUGACCACUGCUUGACCUCUGCCAGGAUGGAAGCUCCCUAUGGACAAGGAUCUUGGUCUCUUCUGUUUAAUGAUGUAUCCCAAGCACUUAAAACAGUGCCUUCUAUUUAGCAAGUGAUCAGUGAAUAAUUUUGGAAAGAAUGGAUGAGUGAAUGAAUUUACAAGUAUAGAUUGCAUGCCUACUGUGUCCCAGGAUGUUCAGCACAAAGUGAAUCAUAUAAUUUCAGGAACAAGAGAAGGUCUACACUAGAGUUAUGAGUGUGUGUCUGUAGCAAGUAGAUCAUGUUUGAAGUUGUGGCGUGAUUUCCAUAGGGAAAUCAUUUUAAGUGAGGUAAGAACAGGGCUCGGGACUGAGCAUAGAAAUUAACAACAAUUAGGGAAGGUGUGAGAAGAGAAAUUUGGAUGGAAAAUGAGUAGGAGUGGCCAAGAAAAUAAGCAGAACCAGGAAAGGAUACUGUUGUAGAAACUGAGGGGGAUUAGAAGUUUUUUUUAAGAAGGGAGUUGUCAAGAGUAUGAAAUAAAAUGCAUUAUUCAAGUAAAGCCUGAAUAAUUGUUACCAAAUUUGUUAGCAAGAUGGUUGUUAUGGGCUGAACUGUGCCCCUUCCACCAAAUUCAUAUGUUGAAGGCUUAAUUCCCAAUAUGACUGUAUUUGAAGACCUUUAAAGAGGUGAUGAAAGUUAAAUGAGAUUAUAAGGAUGGGCCCCUGAUCCAGUGGGAUUGGUGUUCUCAUAAGAAGAGAGAAAGACAUUAGUGGUGCACUCAUACAAGUGAAAGACCAUGUGAGGACGCAGCAAGAUAGUGGCCAUCUGCUCGCCAACGAGAGCGGUCUCAAGAGAAACCAAACUUGUUAUUACCUUGACCCUGGACUUCCAGCCUCAAGAACUGUGAGAAAUAUAUUUCUAUUGUUUGAGCUACCCAGUCUGCGGUAUAUUGUUCUGGAAGUCUUAGCAUACUAAUAAAAUUGUCAUUAUCAGAACGUUGUGAUUGAAAUCACAACAUUUUUCAACAAUAUCUAAAGCUGAUACCACAUAGCAGUAGGGUAAGGAGUCAAAGGAGGGGUGAGUAUAAUCCCCUCUUAUGGAAUGGUAAUUAUAUGGGAGGAGAGAAAUGACCCAGGAACCAGAGCCUGUGUGGGAACCCCAGGAAAGAGCCAUAAAAAGUUGUUGCCAUGAAGUAAGACAAGUUGAUAAUUUUCACACUAUAAUUUUACAAUAUUAUGCAUAUCGAUGAGGGGAUAUUUAUUUGUUUUGUAACCAAAGGAAAUUCUUGGUAGUUUUAAAUUUGAGACAAGUAGGAAACUAUUAUGACUAUAUUAACAAUGAAGCUAAUACUCUUUUGGCAUGAUUUCUGGGUCACUGAAACAGCCUAGACCUAUGGAGCUAAAAGUUGUCUUAGGUGGUGUUUAAAAAAAAAAAAACCAAAAAACUAAUAGUAUUUAAGGCUACUACCCACCUUAAUUCUUUCACACUGCUGAGUUUAAAGACUGCCAUAUGAAUAUAAAAGCAUAGCCCAAUUAAGGAUAUAGUCUCUUACUUAGAAAUUGAUAGGUUAGACAAUGCUGUAGUAUCACUGGAAAUGGAAAGAGAGAAAAUUAAAUUUACCAAAAUUUCUCUUAGAAUGAGUAUUAUUUGUAGUUAAAAGGAAUAAUGUUAUAGUCUGCUUCUGGGUUAGGAUGGGGAGGCCAUGGAGAAUAUAGCUGAGUAACAGCAGAUGAUCACUAGACCUACUUCUUUAGAAGGUGGAAGUUAAAUGCAAGGAUUUAUUUAAAUUAGUAAAUAUCCAAACUAGACUACUGUUUUCAGCAUUCUUUUUUUCUUCUUUUCUUCCCUCAAAUGUCUUCAUUUCUUCUCUAGAUAAACAAGGAGCAAAUACUUUUAAAAUAUGGGUUUAAUGAUGUUCCAGGUAUGAGCAUCCCUGGACUGGCCACAUUAUUAUCUCUAUCACCACCUCAAAUCUUACCUUCCUGAAGGGUAUUGAUUGCUCCUGAAGGGUCCUUUAA
rnacentral:lncRNA from 10 species